rnacentral:rRNA from 1 species
GACUUGACGGCACUUUAAACCCCCCUAGAGGAGCCUGUCCUAUAAUCGACAGUACACGUUACACCCGACCACCUUUAGCCUACUCAGUCUGUAUACCGCCGUCGCAAGCCCGUCCCAUUUGAGGGAAACAAAACGCGCGCAACAGCUCAACCGAGCUAACACGUCAGGUCAAGGUGCAGCCAACAAGGUGGAAGAGAUGGGCUACAUUUUCUCAACAUGUAGAAAUAUUCAACGGAGAGCCCUAUGAAA